rnacentral:rRNA from 1 species
CUGGCGGCGUGCUUAACACAUGCAAGUCGAACGAGCCUUCGGGCUAGUGGCGGACGGGUGAGUAACGCGUGGGAAUCUGCCCUCAGGAGGGGGAUAACGGCCGGAAACGGCCGCUAAUACCCCAUAUGCCGAGAGGUGAAAUGAAUUUCGCCUGAGGAUGAGCCCGCGUCUGAUUAGCUAGUUGGUGGGGUAAUGGCCCACCAAGGCGACGAUCAGUAGCUGGUCUGAGAGGAUGAUCAGCCACACUGGGACUGAGACACGGCCCAGACUCCUACGGGAGGCAGCAGUGGGGAAUUUUCCGCAAUGGGCGAAAGCCUGACGGAGCAACGCCGCGUGAGGGAUGAAGGCCUCUGGGCUGUAAACCUCUUUUCUCAAGGAAGAAGACAUGACGGUACUUGAGGAAUAAGCCACGGCUAAUUCCGUGCCAGCAGCCGCGGUAAUACGGGAGUGGCAAGCGUUAUCCGGAAUUAUUGGGCGUAAAGCGUCCGCAGGCGGCCUUGUAAGUCUGUCGUUAAAGCGUGGAGCUUAACUCCAUUUCAGCGAUGGAAACUACAAGGCUUGAGUGUGGUAGGGGCAGAGGGAAUUCCCGGUGUAGCGGUGAAAUGCGUAGAUAUCGGGAAGAACACCAGUGGCGAAGGCGCUCUGCUGGGCCAUAACUGACGCUCAUGGACGAAAGCCAGGGGAGCGAAAGGGAUUAGAUACCCCUGUAGUCCUGGCCGUAAACGAUGAACACUAGGUGUCGGGGGAAUCGACCCCCUCGGUGUCGUAGCUAACGCGUUAAGUGUUCCGCCUGGGGAGUACGCACGCAAGUGUGAAACUCAAAGGAAUUGACGGGGGCCCGCACAAGCGGUGGAGUAUGUGGUUUAAUUCGAUGCAACGCGAAGAACCUUACCAGGGUUUGACAUCCUGCGAAUCCCUUGGAAACGAGGGAGUGCCUUCGGGAGCGCAGAGACAGGUGGUGCAUGGCUGUCGUCAGCUCGUGUCGUGAGAUGUUGGGUUAAGUCCCGCAACGAGCGCAACCCACGUCUUUAGUUGCCAGCAUUCAGUUGGGCACUCUAGAGAGACCGCCGGUGAUAAACCGGAGGAAGGUGUGGAUGACGUCAAGUCAUCAUGCCCCUUACAUCCUGGGCUACACACGUACUACAAUGCUACGGACAAAGGGUUGCAAGCUCGCGAGAGUUAGCUAAUCCCAUAAACCGUGGCUCAGUUCAGAUCGUAGGCUGCAACUCGCCUACGUGAAGGAGGAAUCGCUAGUAAUCGCAGGUCAGCAUACUGCGGUGAAUACGUUCCCGGGCCUUGUACACACCGCCCGUCACACCAUGGAAGUUGGCCAUGCCCGAAGUCGUUACUCCAACCCU